UAGACAGAAGUCUGUUGGUUAGGGCACCUAGCUGUUAACUAGGAUUAUCGUGGGGUCGGAACCCACCUGUCUAG
rnacentral:tRNA from 1 species